rfam:Macrostomum lignano uti_cns_0000591, whole genome shotgun sequence.
CGUUAGUUAUCUAAUUGGAAAGAUGUUCUGCUGUCACCAGAAAGGUUGUUGGUUCGAGUCCAACCUAACG